rnacentral:rRNA from 1 species
AGUGAACGCUGGCGGUAGGCCUAACACAUGCAAGUCGAACGGCAGCACAGUAAGUGCUUGCUCUUACGGGUUGCGAGUGGCGGACGGGUGAGGAAUACAUCGGAAUCUACUUUUUCGUGGGGGAUAACGUAGGGAAACUUACGCUAAUACCGCAUACGACCUACGGGUGAAAGCAGGUGAUCUUCGGACCUUUCGCGAUUGAAUGAGCCGAUGUCGGAUUAGCUAGUUGGCGGGGUAAAGGCCCACCAAGGCGACGAUCCGUAGCUGGUCUGAGAGGAUGAUCAGCCACACUGGAACUGAGACACGGUCCAGACUCCUACGGGAGGAAGCAGUGGGGAAUAUUGGAAAAUGGGCGAAAGCCUGAUCCAGCCAUACCGCGUGGGUGAAGAAGGCAUUCGGGUUGUAAAGCCCUUUUGAUGGGAAAGAAAAGCAGCAGGUUAAUACCCCGCUGUUCUGACGGUACCCAAAGAAUAAGCACCGGCUAACUUCGUG